CAAAAGCGUUUGCAGCAUGGGGUCAUUUAGAUAGCUGGCAUAGAGAAAACACAAAUUCCCUCAGUGAGGUGUGCAUGGAGGUUUCUAAGGACAGUACAUUUGCAGUGAGGUACAACAUUCACACUCUUCAAAUGCAAAAUAUUUAUGUAUAUUUUUGGUGAUGGAGCUGUUCAUUUGUUCUAGUGAUAUUUACUAGCCUGGAAUGAAGAGCCCUGUUAUGUAUCAUGCUUGUCCUGUGUUAGCCAGUUUCACUCUUCCAACACCACAAAUUACAAGCUGAUACAUGGUUGGGAGUGGAUCCUUUUCCCAGCCUCUCCCCUUUGGUUCAUAACAACAGCUGCUGGUGAUCGAGCUAUGGCCAGGAUUGGGGCUUGAUGCUUUAUCUUCCUCAUGAUAUGCAGUCUCACCACAAUCCUAUGAGGUAGGUGCCGGUAUUAUCCCCAUUUUGCAGAUGAGGACACUGAGGCUCAGAGAGAAAGUGACUCAUCCAGGAUUACACAGUUUAGUAAGUGGCAGGGAGAGAUGUGACUUUGGCUCCAAAGCUGAUGCUUUUAGCUAUGCUGACAUUCUGUUUUCUCUUCCUCUUGGGCUGGAAUUGUCAUUCCUGGACCAUCAGGACCUCCACAAGCACUUAAGACUUUAGAGAGGUCUCCAUCAACCAUCCCCUGCCCCUGCAGAUGUGCAAACUGAGGCUCAGAGAGGGCAAAGGAGUUGCCUGUGGUGCCUCAGCAAGUGGAAAACCCAGCUCUUCAUCCAGGUCAUGGCUUGUUUCAGAACCUGGGGCUAAGCUGUCCAGGAAGGUCAUGCUGCUUGUACCUGAAGAAGACAGCCUGACCCUGGCCCAGUCCCUCUGCCCACCGAUCUCGCUCUGGCCACAAUCUGUGUGGCCUCUGGCUCUCAUUCAAGGAACCAGCAGAUAAUCAAAGUAAUACAGAGGUACCCACUCUGUGUUCUUGACUACGGGACCAGAGACUCCAAACAACACAGCAUUCCUGCUCUUAAGGAAUCUACGGUUUUCACUGCAAGUGGAUCUUCAAAGGGCAGGAACAGCAUCCGGUUUCUUUCUACAAUCCAAAAUAGGACCUGGCACACAGCCUGGUUACUGCUGGGACCCCCCGGCCAAAUGAUCACACUUUGGACCCCAAACUCUGCGCAUAACCAAGGAGAUGUUAAUCUCUGGCCAGAGCUCAGGUCUCUGCUGAAAUAUCACAGCUUGCAUUCACACCUACUGCCUAUGCCAGGCAACUCUCCUGUCUGCUACUGGCCCACUUCCCACUGACUCCAUAGCCCCUUCCCCUGACCCCAGAGGUCUUAGGUGAGCAUGGAGUAGAUGAAGAUGCUGGAUGUUAAUACGCUCACUGAGACCCAUUUCCUGGGAAGUCUUAUUUUGGGGUGCACAUCUGGCCUCCCAAUCUUUUCUUUUUCAAGCACCAACCUCUUCCUCUCCAUCUCCCAGUGCCCUUCAGAGAAAGGGGUAAAGUUGGCAAGAAGAGCCACCCGUGCAGGGCCUGUCUGAGAAGUCAGCAUCGAGGCAUGCCAAGCCACAGAGCAGUGGACACAUGAUGAUCUUUUCACCUUGUGGGGGAAGUGCCCAAUGCUCUUGGCAACUGAAGUCAAUUCGAGGUUGCUGUCAUUCAGCGGGGCUAUACCCUGCCCACCAUUCUCCAGGCACAGAGAAGCUCAGGCGACGUUGCACGGGUGAAUUGAAGGGGUAGUCCCGACACAGGCAUAGACAGGCCUGCUGACGCUUGCAUUUUAGUUUUCAUUUGGGCAGAGAGGCGAUGAAGUGGCUCUAACUGGGUUUGGCAUUGGGGCUGUGGCUGAGGAGAGGGGCUGCUGGGGCGGGGGUGGUAGUCAAGGGGAAGAUGGGCACAUUUUGGGCUAGGCAACAGGGAUGGGCUCCUAAGGACAAAGGAGAUAGACUUCAGGAUGCAGGUGGCUAAAGGUGGUGGCAAGGCUGAAUCAACGGUCAUUAACACUCUGCCUGAGACCCAUAGACAAGCAAGAGGGUGGAAAAGACAUCUCCAAAUUCCAAGUAGCAUGGAACUCUAUCUCAGCUGCUGAGCUCACAGCCAAGCCAAGGAAUGGAGUCUUUGUGUGAUGGCAAGAAGUGGCCUGAUAUUGGUGCUUUAUUUAUUUCAUGGUGCUCUCCACAUGUCAUAUGCCACCAAGGUAGAGGACCAGCCACUGCUCCAAUGGCAGGCCCACGGGAACUACCAUCCCAUCACUUCACUUUACAGAUGGAAAAACCGAGGCCCAGAGACCCACAAUAAGACAAAGUUGGCCUGGAAAUUAGAACAGUAGGGUUAAGAUCCCUGCCCUUCCUCCUCCUGGCUAUGUGACCUUGGACAAGUCACUUCCCCUCUCUGCAUCCAGUUUCAUUGCCUCUGAAGUGGGGAUUAGAAUCGUGCCUGCUCCACACGGUUCUUGUAGGAAUAAUCCCUGGCACAUUGGAAGCUUUGGGUACUCCAUUCCUUCCUUCCAACAGGAACAAGAACAUACCCAAGGUCACCUGGCCAGAAAUGGCAAUGCCCCAGCUCAAAGCAAACCCUCAUCUGGGGCUCGUUCAUUCCCGGCUAUGGACUAAGGGGCCACAUUUUAUAGCCUUCCUGGCUCAGUGAGACAGGUACAGAUUGCAGGUAGGUCCAUGCCAGUGAUAGCAUCACCUUCCAUCCAUGCAGGUUUUAUUCUAAGAGAUUUAUUGAGGUCCUGCUGUGUGCUGGGCCACGUGUAAAAAAAUUUAUAGCCUCUGCUGCUCUGGGGUCACCAGGCAUGUAAAAUCCGUGGCAGGCAGGAGAGACAUGGCCACUGUGCAUCUUUUGGCUUCGAUGGACUUGAUUUUGCCUCAUCUUUACCCUCUAAGCUACCUACUCCUUGGUCUCCAGACAUCCUUCCCAGCCCCAUCUAAGUUCCUGGAGACCCACUUCUCAUCAAGCCUCCAGACCUGAAAUAAAGUGUCCCACAUCAGGACAGAGGGUCCCUGAUUUUACCUCCAGAGUGGCUGCCUCUCUCCUGUGUGUUCCUAGGGGAACCCCACUUUCCAGAUGCUCUGCCAGACAGGCCGGGCUGUGUCCCUCUGCUUGGGACUCACUGUUUGUCCUCCAAGGACUGGCCACUGAGCCAGUGCUUGGCUGGAGAUAGAGCUCUUUCUUUGUUUGCUGCCUGCCUGACGAUUUAUUUCUGAGGCUCAAGGGAGGCUCAGCCAUUUUGCCAGGGCUGCUCUGGGAAAAGGUCUGUCCCACUCCCCCAGGGACUCCCACUUCUAAGGGCAAGUUCUUUUUCCCCUUCUCUGCCUUGGAGAGGGUCUGUGCCUGCCCCAACCAGACCCUGAUCUGGAGCCGGGUCAGUCCUUCCCAAUGUGCUCCAAAGAUAAAGAGAUAACAUGC